GCGAUCGCGCGCAUAGAUACAAAUAUAACAGAUACGCGGCGAAGAGACCUCUCUCUAUAAAAAUAAUAUACCUUUUUUGGUACACCUUAUCCAGGUUACCUGUUCUCGAGUGCCACACGAUCAGUUCAGUUUAGUACAAACGAUCGUAGUGAUCAGUUGGUUUUUAAAAGAUACAUUUUUUUUUUUAAUUUUUUGGAUUUUUGAAUAAAACAAUUAAAAUUGUGUUCUAAGACUUUGAAAAAAUUGUAGACCUCGCGUUGAGACCUUCGAUCAUAAAAUUGAUCUUUAAAAAAGAUACAUUUUUAUCUUUGUACUUUAUUGUUGUUGUAUUUAAACGAAGUGCUAAUUUUGAGAUAGCCUGACUUUUAUGACGAUUUCGGUAUUUUUGUGUUGACCAAAAAAAAAAAUAACGAGAAGAUAUCUCUAUCAGAAUUGAAGAUAUCUUGAGAGAGCUUAUUGAAAAAUCGACCAUGAAGAUUGGCAUAAAAUUGGUUAUUGAACCUGAAAAGAGUCCCACCCGAAAUCGGAGCAGGCUCACCGGAGGCAGUUUUAUUUAUUUAUUUUUUUCCUUAAAGAAAAAAAAAAAAAAAACAUUUAAAAAAAGAGAACCUUGAACAGUGAACACACAUAACAUCGUUCGCAUUUUAUGGAUAUUUUGAGUAAUUCGAUAUUAUGCCGAAAAGUGAUCGUGUUGCGAUUUAUUAAGUGUAUGAGUAUAAAAAAUGAAAAAAAAAAGUAUAAAAAUUGAUACACGAAAUAAAAAGUUAGAAGCGCCUCGAUUGGAAAAAAAAAAAUAAAACCGCUUGAAAUAUGAUCAAAGUUGAAAGAAGUUGGAAUUUGUGCUCGGCGAUCGGUAAACGAACUGCUGCUGGCUGGCGCUGUUUGAUGGCUGGUUGAUUGUAUUUUUAUGAAAAAACAAGGAAAUAUCGGAGUCAAACUUACUACUGUGGAAAACAUUCAUUUGAAGGAAUCAGCAGCUGUCGCAUGCCAUCGACAUGAACAUUGAUGUCAAUCAGAGAGAGGCUUCUGUGGCAAAAAAAGUCGUUAUAUGAAUGGUGAGUUAGGAGAAGAUCAAAAAAAACUUAAACAGGAACUAGUGAUGGAAGUAAAGAUUCGCUCGAAGGAUUUAUAGCUUCAAUUUACACGUGGAGGUAGAAAAAAUAGCAUCUUUUGCAACUAGAUUGACUUCUAUGAUAUUUAUGCAGGUUUGAGUGCAAAUUUAUUUAUUGUUUUAUUUAUAUUUUUCUACUGUUUUAUGAAAUUUUAAUGACUACAGAAAUGAGAUGAAGAAAAUAAAGUUUAAGAUAAAUUUAUCGCUAACGUAGUGAUAUCAAAAAAAUUGAAUUAAAUAUGUCUCCAACAACUGUUGACCAGGUUUUGUUAUAAUUUAUGGUUAUUAGAGAAUAUUGCUUGAUGAUUGCAUGUUUUUUUUUAAUAGGUAGUUUGUGAGGCAGAGUUAAGAGUUUUAGAAGAUUUCACAAAAAAAAAAAAGCUGAAAAUUGUUCAAUAAAAUAGAAUGGACAUUUCUCAAUUCACAGCAUAGGUAAUUGCAGUAAAGUUGAUUGAUAUUUUAAUUGUUUCAAUCUCAAUAUUUACGGUCGAUAAACUUUAAUUGACUAUUAGCCCAGGUGCGUUGCUAAUAAAAAAAAAAGCUUUAACUUAAACGAACCGGAAACGUUGAUAAACUUUUUCAUAUAACUGUCAUGAUCAAGCAAUAAACAAUCUUUGUACCUGAUACAAUUCUGUCAAUUUUAAUUAUAAUUUUUUUUUCUAUUCCAUUUAGCUGAAUGUAUUGA